rnacentral:piRNA from 1 species
AACACUUGAGAGCUUUAAACUGGA